GGCGCUAUAGUGUAGUGGUUAUCACUUGGGAUUCUGAUACUAAAUUCCCAAAACCCAGGUUCGAGCCCUGGUAGCGCCU